rnacentral:lncRNA from 1 species
AACAGAAAACCCCAUACCAGGCCAAAAACUCACACAACAAAACAAAAAGGGUGAUUUAAAACACCUGCUCAAUCACAAAACUUCAAACACCCAAACUCCAAGCUCCCACAUCACCAGACCACAACAAAGCAAAGAAAAAAACUCCAAAACUGGCACAGCAAUCAUGAACGAAAGCAAUACAAAGGCUCCAUGCACCAUUCAUAAAACAUACAAGGAUUG